rnacentral:lncRNA from 1 species
CUAGUUAUUUCGGCCUCCCGAAGGCAGCACUGAGGACUAAGUAACCCGUUCCCACCCCRUGGAUGUUGUUUGCUGUAUCURCCUUAGUUUUGCUUUGGUUGUUUCUGUUUUGUUUUGUUAUUGUACGUGCAUAUGUAGAAAGGGAAAGAUGUCAUAUUUAAUUUUUAGRUUGAUUGCCAUGGCUGAAGUUGAAGAGACCAGAAAAACGUAAGCAAGCUGAAGUAAUGAAAUCAAACGGAACCAACUGAGAGCUGUCUCCAUCGCCCAAAAAGGGAAAGCCCGUUCCUCCUGGUGAGGAAAGAUCACCAUUAAUAGUGAUUGGAAUAAUAGAUCACCAACAUAUAAGGUCUGAAGGGCGAUGGAUUUUACUAUGCCUCCAUCGAGAAGCGCUGGCUGGCAAAGUUGCAUCAUGUCGCAGCAGAGACUCUUAGGCAAGACGGAGGAGUUCAGCUACGCAGCCUGCCAGAAGAACGUCGCCCGGGAGGGGUUGCUAGCCUUGAGCUGUAGGCGCCGAUGCACAUGGCUCAUUCUGUCAGACAUGAAGAGGUGUUCAGAACAUCGGGGAACGACUGUAUGCUGCCAUGAAGAACUACAGGCUCCCGCCCUCAGCCCUUUGCAAGUUAUCAGUCUAAUGUUCUGAGGGCCAGCAACUUGAAGAUGAGCAGCUCAGCCCGUUUUGUUGAUUUCGGUGAUACUGUUUUAAGAAAGCAUGUAAGUACAGAUGGGGUUUGGGAGGGUUUUCGAGCAAGACAGGAAAGAGCAAGGAAGAUUGGAGCAUGUGGAAAAACUAGGUGCCGUGAGCGUACUGAAGUCGUUAAGGGCUGAGAGAAUUUGGGGUUAAGCAUCUGAAAGGGGCUAAGGCACAAGGAGUAGUAAAAUACCGUGACUGAACACAAAGUUCCUCCCCAGUCUGUGCCUGUGCGUGCAUCCUCGCUCUUGCAGACGCAGACACCCUGGAGCUGUAGGGAAACAGGCCAGCAGACCCACAAGUGGGCUUUGGGCACRGYGGURUGCAGAGAGCUCUGYGUGUUUGGCAGGUGAACGGGGAUGGAGAGUGGCAAGGGCUGUUCCAGGCUGUCUGGAUCCAUCCAGUUCUGCUCCCUGUCCCUCUGUCCAGCUCU